rnacentral:rRNA from 1 species
CUGCAGUAUCCUGACUGUGCGAAGGUAGCAUAAUAAUUUGCCUUUUAAUUAAAGGAUAGAAUGAAUGGUUAGACGAAGGUAAGGCUGUCUCAUGUGUAUUUAUUAGAAGUUGAUUUUUAGGUUAAAAAGCCUAAAUAAAAUUGAAAGACGAGAAGACCCUAUUAAGCUUUAAAAAAUAUUAUAACUAUCGCUAUAUCAUUAAAUGUAGUUUUGUAGUAACAUUUUAGUUGGGGCGACUUGGGAGUAGAAAAAACCUCCCUAAAACUAAAUAAAAUUUGAUUUGUGGUCCAAAAAAUUUUGAGGUAAGAACAAGUUACUAUAGGGAUAACAGCGUAAUUCUACUUAAGAGUUCUAAUCGAAAGUAGAGUUUGCGACCUCGAUGUUGGAUUAAGAAGUAGUAAAGGUUGCAGAAGCUUUUAUAAUUAGUCUGUUCGACUAUUAAUAUCUUACAUGAUCUGAGUUCCAACCGGA